rnacentral:lncRNA from 1 species
AAAGAUCAACUGAAAUCGGCAAACUUCUGAGUUCCUACUUGCAAAAGAAAAGUGACGUGGAGGAUCACUCGGUGCACCUGCUUUUUUCUGCAAAUCGCUGGGAACAAGUUUUCAUUCUUGUCGCCCAGACUGGAGUGCAAUGGGGCGAUCUUGGCUCACUGCAACCUACGCCUCGCAGGUUCAAGCGAUUCUCCUGCCUCAGCCUCUCAAGUAGCUGUGAUCACAGGCCGUUAAUUAAGGAAAAGUUGAGCCAGGGCGUGACCCUCGUCGUGGACAGAUACGCAUUUUCUGGUGUGGCCUUCACCGGUGCCAAGGAGAAUUUUUCCCUAGAUUGGUGUAAACAGCCAGACGUGGGCCUUCCCAAACCCGACCUGGUCCUGUUCCUCCAGUUACAGCUGGCGGAUGCUGCCAAGCGGGGAGCGUUUGGCCAUGAGCGCUAUGAGAACGGGGCUUUCCAGGAGCGGGCGCUCCGGUGUUUCCACCAGCUCAUGAAAGACACGACUUUGAACUGGAAGAUGGUGGAUGCUUCCAAAAGCAUCGAAGCUGUCCAUGAGGACAUCCGCGUGCUCUCUGAG